AUUGAACGCUGGCGGCAGGCCUAACACAUGCAAGUCGAGCGAGCGGCGGACGGGUGAGUAAUGUCUGGGAAACUGCCUGUUGGAGGGGGAUAACUACUGGAAACGGUAGCUACUACCGCAUACCAUCAGAUGUGCCCCGAUGGGAUUCGCUAGUAGGUGGGGUAACGGCUCACCUCGGCGACGAUCCCUAGCUGGUCUGAGAGGAUGACCAGCCACACUGGAACUGAUACACGGUCCAGACUCCUACGGGAGGCAGCAGUGGGGAAGAUUGCACAAUGGGCGCAAGCCUGAUGCAGCCAUGCCGCGUGUGUGAAGAAGGCCUUCGGGUUGUAAAGCACUUUCAGCGGGGAGGCGUUACCCGCAGAAGAAGCACCGGCUAACUCCGUGCCAGCAGCCGCGGUAAUUC
rnacentral:rRNA from 1 species